rnacentral:rRNA from 1 species
GGUUUGUCGCGUUGUUCGUGAAAUCUCACGGCUUAACUGUGAGCGUGCGGGCGAUACGGGCAGACUUGAGUACUGCAGGGGAGACUGGAAUUCCUGGUGUAGCGGUGGAAUGCGCAGAUAUCAGGAGGAACACCGGUGGCGAAGGCGGGUCUCUGGGCAGUAACUGACGCUGAGGAGCGAAAGCGUGGGGAGCGAACAGGAUUAGAUACCCUGGUAGUCCACGCCGUAGACGGUGGGUACUAGGUGUGGGUUUCCUUCCUUGGGAUCCGUGCCGUAGCUAACGCAUUAAGUACCCCGACUGGGGAGUACGGCCGCAAGGCUAAAACUCAAAGAAAUUGACGGGGGCCCGCACAAGCGGCGGAGCAUGUGGAUUAAUUCGAUGCAACGCGAAGAACCUUACCUGGGUUUGACAUGCACAGGACGCCGGCAGAGAUGUCGGUUCCCUUGUGGCCUGUGUGCAGGUGGUGCAUGGCUGUCGUCAGCUCGUGUCGUGAGAUGUUGGGUUAAGUCCCGCAACGAGCGCAACCCUUGUCUCAUGUUGCCAGCGGGUAAUGCCGGGGACUCGUGAGAGACUGCCGGGGUCAACUCGGAGGAAGGUGGGGAUGACGUCAAGUCAUCAUGCCCCUUAUGUCCAGGGCUUCACACAUGCUACAAUGGCCGGUACAAAGGGCUGCGAUGCCGCGAGGUUAAGCGAAUCCUUUUAAAGCCGGUCUCAGUUCGGAUCGGGGUCUGCAACUCGACCCCGUGAAGUCGGAGUCGCUAGUAAUC